rnacentral:rRNA from 1 species
AUUGAACGCUGGCGGCGGGCUUAACACAUGCAAGUCGAGCGGAGAGAGGUAGCUUGCUACUGAUCUUAGCGGCGGACGGGUGAGUAAUGCUUAGGAAUCUGCCUAUUAGUGGGGGACAACAUUUCGAAAGGAAUGCUAAUACCGCAUACGUCCUACGGGAGAAAGCAGGGGAUCUUCGGACCUUGCGCUAAUAGAUGAGCCUGAGUCGGAUUAGCUAGUUGGUGGGGUAAAGGCCUACCAAGGCGACGAUCUGUAGCGGGUCUGAGAGGAUGAUCCGCCACACUGGGACUGAGACACGGCCCAGACUCCUACGGGAGGCAGCAGUGGGGAAUAUUGGACAAUGGGCGGAAGCCUGAUCCAGCCAUGCCGCGUGUGUGAAGAAGGCCUUAUGGUUGUAAAGCACUUUAAGCGAGGAGGAGGCUACUUUAGUUAAUACCUAGAGAUAGUGGACGUUACUCGCAGAAUAAGCACCGGCUAACUCUGUGCCAGCAGCCGCCGUAAGAC